AGAAAGAAAGAAAGAAAGAGAAGAAGAAUCAGUGGAAUCAAAGGAGCUAGAGUUCUUGAUUCCAUUUGAUCAUGUUCACUCAUUCAUUUAUUCGCUCUUAAUUCGGACA
rnacentral:ribozyme from 11 species